rnacentral:sRNA from 1 species
UAACGCAGUAACUGCCCCAGCGGGUUUUC